rnacentral:rRNA from 1 species
GAUGAACGCUGGCGGCGUGCCUAAUACAUGCAAGUCGAGCGAACAGACGAGGAGCUUGCUCCUCUGACGUUAGCGGCGGACGGGUGAGUAACACGUGGAUAACCUACCUAUAAGACUGGGAUAACUUCGGGAAACCGGAGCUAAUACCGGAUAAUAUAUUGAACCGCAUGGUUCAAUAGUGAAGGACGGUUUUGCUGUCACUUAUAGAUGGAUCCGCGCCGCAUUAGCUAGUUGGUAAGGUAACGGCUUACCAAGGUAACGAUGCGUAGCCGACCUGAGAGGGUGAUCGGCCACACUGGAACUGAGACACGGUCCAGACUCCUACGGGAGGCAGCAGUAGGGAAUCUUCCGCAAUGGGCGAAAGCUUGACGGAGCAACGCCGCGUGAGUGAUGAAGGUCUUCGGAUCGUAAAACUCCGUUAUUAGGGAAGAACAAAUGUGUAAGUAACUAUGCACGUCUUGACGGUACCUAAUCAGAAAGCCACGGCUAACUACGUG